rnacentral:lncRNA from 1 species
AGCUGCUGGCGGCUGGUGGGGGGAUCUGAGUGCCUAGUCCAGCUUGGCACCUGGGCCGGACCCGACCCCCUCGGGGCAGCAGCUUCCUGGCCCUGGGUUCUCCAGUCCUUCGACCCGUGACGUUCCUGUUCCUUGGACCCCAAACUCCAGGAUCCCAGUGUGCGGCGGUCCAGACCCCCCCGCCCCGCCCCCGGCCUGUGAGCCUUGCCGCCCUUCAGCAUAGCGGUUGCGCGGAUCUACGUGGCCUUUCAGCGCUCAGGUCCCGAGCACUCUCAGACGCAGACUGGUUUUGCAGAGCCCAUUUGGCCGGGAAAGGGCCCCUGCCCUUCACUUCGAAAGAAGAUUCUGUCCAGAGGUG